rnacentral:rRNA from 1 species
GAUGAACGCUGGCGGCGUGCCUAAUACAUGCAAGUCGAGCGAACAGACGAGGAGCUUGCACCUCUGACGUUAGCGGCGGACGGGUGAGUAACACGUGGAUAACCUACCUAUAAGACUGGGAUAACUUCGGGAAACCGGAGCUAAUACCGGAUAACAUGUUGAACCGCAUGGUUCAACAGUGAAAGACGGUCUUGCUGUCACUUAUAGAUGGAUCCGCGCCGCAUUAGCUAGUUGGUAAGGUAACGGCUUACCAAGGCAACGAUGCGUAGCCGACCUGAGAGGGUGAUCGGCCACACUGGAACUGAGACACGGUCCAGACUCCUACGGGAGGCAGCAGUAGGGAAUCUUCCGCAAUGGGCGAAAGCCUGACGGAGCAACGCCGCGUGAGUGAAGAAGGUCUUCGGAUCGUAAAACUCUGUUAUUAGGGAAGAACAAAUGUGUAAGUAACUAUGCACGUCUUGACGGUACCUAAUCAGAAAGCCACGGCUAACUACGUG